rnacentral:rRNA from 1 species
AGAGUUUGAUCAUGGCUCAGAGUGAACGCUGGCGGUAGGCCUAACACAUGCAAGUCGAACGGCAGCACAGAGGAGCUUGCUCCUUGGGUGGCGAGUGGCGGACGGGUGAGGAAUACAUCGGAAUCUACUCUGUCGUGGGGGAUAACGUAGGGAAACUUACGCUAAUACCGCAUACGACCUACGGGUGAAAGCAGGGGAUCUUCGGACCUUGCGCGAUUGAAUGAGCCGAUGUCGGAUUAGCUAGUUGGCGGGGUAAAGGCCCACCAAGGCGACGAUCCGUAGCUGGUCUGAGAGGAUGAUCAGCCACACUGGAACUGAGACACGGUCCAGACUCCUACGGGAGGCAGCAGUGGGGAAUAUUGGACAAUGGGCGCAAGCCUGAUCCAGCCAUACCGCGUGGGUGAAGAAGGCCUUCGGGUUGUAAAGCCCUUUUGUUGGGAAAGAAAUCCAGCUGGCUAAUACCCGGUUGGGAUGACGGUACCCAAAGAAUAAGCACCGGCUAACUUCGUGCCAGCAGCCGCGGUAAUACGAAGGGUGCAAGCGUUACUCGGAAUUACUGGGCGUAAAGCGUGCGUAGGUGGUCGUUUAAGUCCGUUGUGAAAGCCCUGGGCUCAACCUGGGAACUGCAGUGGAUACUGGGCGACUAGAGUGUGGUAGAGGGUAGCGGAAUUCCUGGUGUAGCAGUGAAAUGCGUAGAGAUCAGGAGGAACAUCCAUGGCGAAGGCAGCUACCUGGACCAACACUGACACUGAGGCACGAAAGCGUGGGGAGCAAACAGGAUUAGAUACCCCGGUAGUCCAA